rnacentral:rRNA from 1 species
GACGAACGCUGGCGGCGUGCUUAACACAUGCAAGUCGAACGAAGUGGCGAACGGGUGAGUAACGCGUAAUCAACCUGCCCUUCAGAGGGGGACAACAGUUGGAAACGACUGCUAAUACCGCAUACUGACGGCGGGGAUUGCGUCUGAUUAGCUAGUUGGAGGGGUAACGGCCCACCAAGGCGAUGCUCAGGAGACGGGCUGAGAGGAGGAACGGCCAAAUUGGGACUGAGACACGGCCCAGACGCCGACGGGGGACAGCAGGGGGGAAUCUUCCGCAAUGGACGAAAGUCUGACGGAGCAACGCCGCGUGAGUGAUGACGGCCUUCGGGUUGUAAAGCUCUGUUAAUCGGGACGCGGUACCGGAAUAGAAAGCCACGGCUAACUACGUGCCAGCAGCCGCGGUAAUAC